GAGAUAAUUGUAUAUAUCCCUAAAAUAUCUAUUUUUUUUUUCCAAUAUAACCAUCAUAUGUUCCUUUGCUAUUAAAAGAGAUAAAGUAUUUCGACAGUUACAAUUCGUUAAGUUAUCUCAGAUUAAAUGUGAGUUAAAUGUCUAUCAAAGUUAAAAAAAAUAAAAUACUUUUUUUGUCCUUAACUUAGGAUAAAUAAAAAAAAUGAUGAUAAUAACUGGGUAUAUUUGAAAAAAUAAAAAAUUAAAAUAUUUCUUUUGCUCCUAAUUUAUGGAUAAAUAGGAAAAGUUGGUAAUAAUAAAAGGUUAUAUUUAAAGGAUAAAAUAAUAAUUUUAUAGAUAUAAUGAUUAUUAGUAAUAAUUUACUAUUAAAAUUUAACUUUAGUAAUAUAUUUGAAAUAAUUUAAAACGUAAAAAAAUAUUUUUAAUAUUAAUCUCAUAAGAAGGAUAAAUUAAAAUUUUAAGUUUUUUUUAGGAGUAUAUAAGUAAUUGUUCUUAAAAUAAAAAUAAAAA
rnacentral:lncRNA from 1 species